UUCCCUCUCUUUGUUGACUUUCUUCAAGAGGGGAUUUCUAGAGUAGGGACAUUCUCUUAGAUGCCAUAAUAAAUGUCUCUCCAAUCACCAUUCUUCCUGUAACUUAGUAGCCAUACACUUGUUAUUACAUGCGACUGUCUUGUUUCCUUCUCUUUCUAUUUUUUCUUUUUUCUUGGUUUUCCAUUUGAUGUUCGGAAUCCACAUUUGAGCUUCAACUAAAUUCGGAUCACGCACUAAGGACAAAUUCAAGAAUGGUGCUUUCAAUAAGAUUUUUCUCACACAUAAGGUUUGAACCGAUAUCUCAGAUUAAAGAUGAAAACACUCUAAUCAGUGCUCUUUGUCGACUUUGUUCGAGAGGGGAUUCACUAGAGUAGGGCCACUCUCUUAGAUGCACUCCCUUUGGUUGGUGGGAAUUAUAUGCUAUAAUUGACAUCUCUCCAACCACCCUUCUUCAUAUAACUUAGUAGCCAUACACUUAUUAUUACAUGUGAUUGUCUUGUUUCCCUUUUUUCCUUUUUUUUUUUUGGGGGUUUCCCACCCAAUAUCUACUUCAUAUACAUUUAUUAUUACAUGACAAUUGUCUAAUUUUCCUCUAUUUGUUUUUUUCUUCUUUUGGUUUUUUAUUUGGUGUUUGGAGUUCACAUUUGAGCUCCGACUAAAUUCGAAUCGUGCAUUAUAGAACACGUUUAAGAGUGAUGCUUCCAACAAGAUUUUGCCAACACACAAGGCUCGAACCGAUACUUCUAAUUAAGGAUGAAACAUUCUCACCGGUGCUCUUUGUUGACUUUGUUCGAGAGGGGAUUCACUGGAGUCGAAGAAACAAGCUGGUCUACUACUUGAGGAGCUCUGGGCGGAGUGUGAAAAAAGUGGAGAUGAUAAGCUAUUGGAGAUAGUAAGAAGGAGAAACUUGCUCCAUCGUUUCUCAAGGUUUCUGGAGCAGCACUUCAGAUGCAAAAAGAGAGAUUGUGGUUUAAGGUGAGAGAUUUCAUAUCUCUCUCAUUUUAAUUGUUCAGUAUGAAUUGAAGGCGCGUUUUUCAUAGUGAUACUGCUAUUCCAAUAUUGCUAACAUUCAAUGGAUUUAGGGUCUUCGUCAUAUCAGAUGCGGUGGCACUAGUCAGCUCAAUCGUUUCUAUCAUUAUGUUCUUGUCCAUUCUCACAUCUCGCUAUGCUGAAGACGAUUUUCUUAUGUCAUUGCCUGCAAAGUUAUUCUUCGGAAUCACGGCGCUGUUUGUCUCCAUAGUUAGCAUGCUCUUGGCUUUUACAUCAACCUUCUUUUUGGUGUACAGUAAUCUUACGAAUUGGGAGCCAAAGCUCAUUGCUGCUUGUGCUUGUAUUCCUGUAGGAUUUAUUUGGGUGUUUCCAGUACAAACUAUGGUUUGAUGUAGCUAAAUCAACAUAUUGGUCCAAGUUUCUUUUUCGACCAAUAAAAGCAUAAACUCUGUUAACAACAGAGCCUGAGCCUUCAUUGCAGAUAACGGUUGCACAGACGAGAAUCUUCUUAUUGUUACGGUGCCUUAUUCUAACUACUCCUAUUUGUAAUGUUUGUGUUUGAAACUUCAGUGAAUUUCUCCAUCGA